rnacentral:rRNA from 1 species
AACGAACGCUGGCGGCAGGCUUAACACAUGCAAGUCGAACGCCCCGCAAGGGGAGUGGCAGACGGGUGAGUAACGCGUGGGAACAUACCUCUCGGUACGGAAUAGCUCAGGGAAACUUGAAUUAAUACCGUAUACGCCGUAUUGGGAAAGAUUUAUCGCCGAGAGAUUGGCCCGCGUUAGAUUAGCUAGUUGGUGGGGUAAUGGCCUGGCAAGGCUACGAGCUAUAGCUGAUCUGAGAGGAUGAGCAGCCACACUGGGACUGAGACACGGACCAGACUCCUUCUGGAGGCAGCAGUGGGGAAUCUUGGACAAUGGGCGCAAGCCUGAUCCAGCCAUGCCGCGUGAAUGACGAAGGCCUUAGGGUUGUAAAGUUCUUUCACCGGGGAAGAUAAUGACGGUACCCGGGGAAGAAGCCCCGGCUAACUUCGUGCCAGCAGCCGCAGUAA